rnacentral:tRNA from 1 species
GUUACUAUAGCUUAAUUAGAGCAUGAUAUUGAAGAUAUUAAGGUGAUUAUAUUUCUAGUAACA